rnacentral:rRNA from 1 species
GACGAAUGCUGGCUGCGUGCUUAACACAUGCAAGUCGAACGGUGAAAGGGAGCUUGCUCCCUGGAUCAGUGGCGAACGGGUGAGUAACACGUGGGCAACCUGCCCCUCACUCUGGGAUAACUCCGGGAAACCGGGGCUAAUACCGGAUACGACCUGGUGCGACAUCGCACCGGGUGGAAAGAACUUCGGUGAGGGAUGGGCCCGCGGCCUAUCAGCUUGUUGGUGGGGUAACGGCCCACCAAGGCGACGACGGGUAGCCGGCCUGAGAGGGCAACCGGCCACACUGGGACUGAGACACGGCCCAGACUCCUACGGGAGGCAGCAGUGGGGAAUAUUGCGCAAUGGGCGAAAGCCUGACGCAGCGACGCAGCGUGAGGGACGAAGGCCUUCGGGUUGUAAACCUCUUUCAGCGGGGACGAAGCGAAAGUGACGGUACCCGCAGAAGAAGCACCGGCUAACUACGUGCCAGCAGCCGCAGUAAGAC